GUUUCUCUGUUGAAAAUACACUGUUAUAUAUUAAAAUUUCUUUCCUUUAGAUAAGAAAUCAUAUUUGCACGUGUUUUUUGGGGGGGAGAUGGGAUUGAAGGAGGCACCUGGUUAUGUUGUUUUUGGUGGUGUCAAUGAAAUGAAUUGAAAAUGAGAAGGUUGGGUGGGAUGAUCUCUGUGGUCUUUUCCCACCUCCAUGAGCAGUGUUUGCUUUCCCAGCUCCUUCCCCGGCAGCCCACAGCAGACGUCUGGGGGGAGCAGCACUGCUUGCCUCUUGAAGGGUGAUUUCAUGGCCAGGCCGGGAAUGUGCGCCGCGUCCCUCUGCCACGGGGCAGAGAUGCUGCUGGAGGAGGUUCUGCUCAUCUGCUGUGCUCCUGAGAUGGGCACCCUCUGCACCGCCAAGGGGCCUGCUGCUGGCUCUGAGCGCUGUGUGCUGCUGGACAGCCGGCUGUGCUCGUGCUGUAGGGGGGCCAUGCGGUUUGGCAAGGGGCUGAAUGGGGACCCAGCACCAUCUGCAGCACAGAGCGGGCGUGAGACCCCCAGAGCCCCAGAGCUGGCCUUGGGCAAACAGGGAAACCCAACCCACAGCGAGCCCUGCGCAUGGACAGGGCUGUGCCUGGCCAUGGCCACAAGCCCAGGUCUGCGGGAGUGGGGACCCAGGUGGAAUGCUGUGCCAUGUCUGCAUCUGCAGCACCACAAACACAGCCCAUACACACAUCUGGGCUUUCCUUGGAACCCCGUGGCUUUUGAGGGCUGUGUCAGCUCAGUGAGCAGCUCCUCCAGCUUGGGGCAUCCUCCUUGGGGAUGCAGUCAGUGGCAGGGAGAACAAACAGACAGCACUGGGGCAGGUAUGGUGUGUAAGGUAGAACUCAGGGUGGAUUCAGGAACAGAUACAGGCAGGGAGUUGAAAGGCACACGUUGAGGCGUGAGGGAGACAUUAGGUUUGCCAUCAAAGGCUCAUCCCCAUGGUCUGGGCAUCCAAGACCAUUUUGCUUAAUUACAUCCUGAAAGUGUGCAAAAGAAGUGCUGGGAGAGAGGAUUUCACAGCAGUCCUGCAGGCUGGAGGGAGGGGAACUGCAGAGGAGGAGGCUGAAGUGCUCCUGUCCCAACCAGAGAAACAGCCAGGGCCGUGCAAACGGGCAGAAGAGCCCCGUGGUGCCCAGCCCAGCCCAGAAGAGGGCCGAGGGAAGAGCCAGCAUCACCCCGCACUGCACUGCACACCCAUACACGUUCAUGCUCCUAAUCGUAUCCAGUUCCAGGUUAGUAAUGAGCAGAGUUGCCUGAGCAUCGCAGGGGCAUCGUGGGAGCUCUGAAACAAGUACAGGAUCAGCAAGGAAAAUAUCUGAUGGCGAUUACAGCAACCAGGUUGGGAACCAGGCAGGAGGAAUUGUUCAGCAUGGUUUGGGGCCGACACUCAGCCUGGGGAAGUGCUGCAUGCAGAACGUGAUCCAUCACAGCUCCUGCUGAAUCCCCCCAAAGGGGAAAUGUGGAGCACUCAGUCCAAGCUGGUGGGGUUGUGAUACACUGGGAAGGAGCAGACUCGUGUCUUCCAGGAGCUGGAAGUCUUCCUCCAACAGAGGCAGCCCAGGAUGAAUGGGCGCUGGGAGGGGCGGCCUUUGGGCACAGGGGAGGUAGGGGCAGUGCCAAGGCUGUGUGAGCAGCCCCAUUUGCACAGGGAAGGAGCAUCCCUGGGUGUACGUUUUCCUGGGAAGGGCACCAGGCGCAGGCAGCGGGGAGCAUUCAGCAGGGGAUGGCCACACAGCACAGGGUCACAUCUCCUGAGUUCUUCACCCUCUGCUCUCGUCUUUCUUCCCUCCAUCUCCCUGUGCUCUGCAACUUCCUGGCCAUCCUCCCCCACCAUUUCCCAUUACUUCCUCUCCCUCCCCUUCCUGCCCCUUCCCAGCCCUCCACAACCUCCUGUUUCAGGUAUGUUCAGCGUUCUGCCAAGCAGGUUGUGCCUGUGGCCUCGCAAGUCCCUGCAGGAGGUGCAUCUCUGCCUGCUAACCUGGAACACGUGCUUGCUCCACUGCCCAGCUGCGAGCCAGGGCCGAGCCAUAGGUUUGCUUUCAUCCUCCCAGCUGUGCAGGAAGUACUCGUAUAAGCACAAACACCUGGAAUGGCCUGCAUUGAAAGGCACCUCAAGGAUCAUCAAGCUCAAACCACCCUGCUGGAUGCAGUGUCACCAACCUCCAUCUCUAAGACUAGACCAGGCUGCCCGGGGCCCCAUCCAACCUGGCCUUGAUCACCUCCACUCCAGGUAUGGACGGGGCAUCCACAGCCUCUCUGGGCAGCUGUUCCAGCACCUCACCAGUAUCUCAAUAAAGAACUUCCCCAGUAUCCAACUUAAAUCUUUCCUCCAUCAACUUCAAACACUUUCCACUUGUCCUGCCACCAUCAUCCCUUGUAAAAAGUUGACUCCCCUCCUGUUUGUAGUCUCCUUUUAGCUAAUGGAAGGCUGCACUGAGGUCACUGUGCAGCUUUCUCUUCUCCACGGUGGACAAGCCCACCUCCCUCAGCCUGUCCUCAUAGGGGAGGUGCUCAUUUCCUCUGAUCAUCUUUGUGGCCCUCCUCUGGACCCUCUCCAACAGCUCCCUGUCUUUCAUGUAUUGGGGUCCCAGACCUGGACACAGUACUGCAGAUGGGGCUCCACGAGGGCAGAGUAGAGAG
ensembl:lncRNA